rnacentral:tRNA from 1 species
CUAAGGAUGGUUCUUCAGAAGCUUGCUUCUAUCGAACCGUUUUAGAAACAUCAGUGGCCAACGGUCGUCAGGAUCGUUGAGCUGCAUUGGCGGGAUUUCGCCGUCUUCGUUUCUCUUUCUUCGCGGACGAACACGCGCUGGGGCUGCAACCUUGCAGAAUCCCUGGUCCUUGACUGGAUAUGCGUUAGGGGCUUGUAGCUCAGUUGGUUAGAGCGCGCGCUUGAUAAGCGUGAGGUCGGAAGUUCAAGUCUUCCCAGGCCCACCACACUCAUCGAGUGAGCAUUCGUCUUCUGGUUACGGGGCCAUAGCUCAGCUGGGAGAGCGCGUGCUUUGCAAGCAUGAGGUCGUCGGUUCGAUCCCGUCUGGCUCCACCAGAUGGUUUGAUCACCGGCUGCUCAUACCGUCGUCCGCGAAACAUCACUUCGCACUUACUAGUCCGGAUGGACAGUAAGCUGCGUGAUUUCUGACAUCGUAAAGAGGAGAUCGAUCCGAGUUGGAUCGGGCAACAAGUAAUUGUUGCGCGAUACUUCAUUAUCUCCGGAUCAUUUCGGCGCUCGUGCGUCUUCCAUUGUAGCUCACAAGGCUGCUUUGAAAGACAAGCGAGUUGUAAAUGAUCCUUUUAGCGAAGCUUGACCGCCUCGCUAUCGGAACGAUCUUACGAAGCAAGCUGGUCUUUCUAAUCAUUGUCCGGCUGCAGAUAGCGUUCAUCGAGGGCGCGUGCCCAAGGUAGUUCUGCAGACAACAUUCUGCCGAGUGUGUGGACAUUGAUAAUGAGAGC